ensembl:lncRNA
AACUCCUCGCACAGGACGACUGCCAAUCACGACUGUAUUCAUACACUGAAAGCACAUUUCUCUAUGACUUUGUGUGGCAGAACCGUCGCUUGUGCCUUGAUGCAUCUAAAGAAGAUGGAUCUCUGGGACGAUUAGUGAAUGACAACCAAAAAAAUCCAAAUUGUGUCAUGAAAAAAAUCACAGUUGACAACAAGCCACACUUGUGCCUUUUUGCUCUGAAGAAAAUAGAAAUAGGAUCUGAAAUUGAGUACAACUAUGGUAAUGCAAAAUGGCCCUGGCGCAGGAAGGUGAAAGACCCUCAGACUCCUGCAGCAGCAGUCGAGACAGAGACCAGCCCUGUACAUCAGACGUUCCAUGAGAAAUCAAAGUCAGAUGAGACUCACACACAGGUAAAAUGACAUUGUAG